rnacentral:rRNA from 1 species
UGAAUACGAGACGCUAAGGCGUCGAAGUAGUGUAUGUCAUACUUCCAAGAAAAGCUUGCACUGUCAUAGAUAAAAAACGCCUGUACCAUAACCGACACAGGUGGGUAGGUAGAGUAUACUAAGGGGCGCGAGAUAACUCUCUCUAAGGAACUCGGCAAAAUAACUCCGUAACUUCGGGAGAAGGAGUGCCUUAUUCGUAAGGUUGCAAUAACAAGAUCCAAGCAACUGUUUAUCAAAAACACAGGUCUCCGCUAAGUCGUAAGACGAUGUAUGGGGGCUGACGCCUGCCAGUGCCAGAAGGUUAAAGAAGUUGGUUAGCAAUUGCGAAGCUGAUAACUGAAGCCCUGGUGAACGGCGGCCGUAACUAUAACGGUCCUAAGGUAGCGAAAUUCCUUGUCGGGUAAGUUCCGACCCGCACGAAAGGCGUAAUGAUUUGGAUACUGUCUCGGAGAGGGGCUCGGUGAAAUAGACUUGUCUGUGAAGAUGCGGACUACCUGCACCAGGACAGAAAGACCCUAUGAAGCUUUACUGUAACUUGAAAUUGAAAUUGGACUUUAUUCGCGCAGUAUAGGUGGGAGGCGUUGAUUAUAAUCUUGUGGGAUUAUUGGAGCCAUCAGUGAGAUACCACUCUUGUAAUGUUAGAUUUCUAACUUUGAAUCAUUAUCUGGUCAAAGAACAGUUUCAGGCGGGCAGUUUGACUGGGGCGGUCGCCUCCUAAACGGUAACGGAGGCGUACAAAGGUUUCCUCUGAACGGUUAGAAAUCGUAUCUAGAGUGUAAAGGCAUAAGGAAGCUUGACUGUGAGACCUACAAGUCGAGCAGGGACGAAAGUCGGUCUUAGUGAUCUGACGGUACUGAGUGGAAAGGCCGUCACUCAACGGAUAAAAGUUACUCUAGGAUAACAGGCUGAUCUCCCCCAAGAGUUCACAUCGACGGGGAGGUUUGGCACCUCGAUGUCGGCUCAUCGCAUCCUGGGGCGGUAGUACGUCCCAAGGGUUGGGCUGUUCGCCCAUGAAAGCGGUACGCGAGCUGGGUUCAGAACGUCGUGAGACAGUUCGGUCCAUAUCCGGUGUAGGCGUUAGAAUAUUGAGAGGAGCCUUCUUUAGUACGAGAGGACCGAGAAGGACAUACCUCUGGUGUACCAGUUAUCGUGCCAACGGUAAACGCUGGGUAGCUAUGUAUGGAGUGGAUAACCGCUGAAAGCAUCUAAGUGGGAAGCCCACCUCAAGAUAAG